rnacentral:rRNA from 1 species
GAUGAACGCUGGCGGCGUGCCUAAUACAUGCAAGUCGAGCGAACAGACGAGGGGCUUGCUCCUUUGACGUUAGCGGCGGACGGGUGAGUAACACGUAGGUAACCUACCUAUAAGACUGGGAUAACUUCGGGAAACCGGAGCUAAUACCGGAUAAUAUUUCGAACCGCAUGGUUCGAUAGUGAAAGAUGGCUUUGCUAUCACUUAUAGAUGGACCUGCGCCGUAUUAGCUAGUUGGUAAGGUAACGGCUUACCAAGGCAACGAUACGUAGCCGACCUCAGAGGGUGAUUGGCCACACUGGAAGUGAGGCACGGUACAGACUCCGACGGGAGGCAGCGGUCGGGAAUCCUACGCAAUGGGCGAAAGCCUGACGGUGCAACGCCGCGUGAGUGCUGAACGUCUUAGGAUCGGUAAACUCUGUUAGUAGGGGAGAACAAAAGCGCAAGUAACUGUGCACGUCUUGACGGUACCUAAACAAGAAGCCACGGCUAACUACGUG